GUGGUUUUUGGCAGACAGUUGGGGUCAUGCAGCUUGAUAUUCUGGAGAAGUAGAACCCUCUCCUCUUCCAGAGGACAUCUCAGGGCGUACAAAGUGUAAAACAUAAUGCCAAACGUACAAGCAUGAAGAGGAAAUAAUUCAGUAUUUUGCUCUCAAGGAGGAUCACAUUGUCUUCUAUCAGCAUUUUAAUGAAGCAUUGAACUUUCUUGAGGUAUCAUUGAUAUACAAAGAACUGCACACAGUUAAUGUGCUCAACUGAAUGACUUUGGACAUCCACAAACACUCAUGUUACCAUCACCACAAUCAAGUGAAGUCAAGAACCUGAACCAGCCCACUGGCUACAACUAGGGUUGUCCCCAAUCCAAUAUGCCUCAGAAGAAGAGAAAAUUUAAACUGAUACACAGGAAAGCAAUCCCACGUGGAGCCACAGGCAGCAGACAGCCAGCUGUAAGCCAAGGAGAGAGGCC